GAGGAAUAUUGGUCAAUGGGCGCGAGCCUGAACCAGCUAAGUCGCGUGAAGGAUGACGGUCCUAUGGAUUGUAAACUUCUUUUGUGCAGGAAUAAAGUGAGGAACGUGUUCCUUUUUGUAUGUACUGUACGAAUAAGCAUCGGCUAACUCCGUGCCAGCAGCCGCGGUAAUACGGAGGAUGCGAGCGUUAUCCGGAUUUAUUGGGUUUAAAGGGUGCGUAGGCGGGCUGAUAAGUCAGUGGUGAAAGUUUGCAGCUUAACUGUAAAAUUGCCAUUGAAACUGUUAGUCUUGAGUGCAAAUGAGGUAGGCGGAAUGUGUUGUGUAGCGGUGAAAUGCUUAGAUAUAACACAGAACUCCGAUUGCGAAGGCAGCUUACUGGGAUGCAACUGACGCUGAUGCACGAAAGCGUGGGUAUCAAAC
rnacentral:rRNA from 1 species